CAGUGAUAUAAUCUGCCUCAAAAUAACACCUGUCCUGGUGUCUCCAUAUUGGCUGCCAGUCUCGUUUUGAAAUACAGGUAAUUUCUCUCUUUUAAUUCUUCUAGUUGGCGUACGCAUAAUAUAGAGUUUGAGGCCAAAAAUCUUAAAUUAAUGUGUGAUUAUUGGUUUUACUCUGAGUUACAGACACCCUGCACAGAAUUAAGGUGUCUGGGACUGACCAAUGGGGUCCUGUCAGUCUGAACGCAAAACCUUCUUUCUUCCAGGUCAGGGGACGGGCAGCCCAAAGUCCUUGCACCUGUGAGGAGAGACGUCCUGACCGUCACCCCCUGGUUGGCGCCCAUCGUCUGGGAAGGGACCUUUGACCCCUCGAUCCUCGACGGCAUCUACAAGCCCCUGAACAUCACCGUAGCGACCACGGUGUUCGCCGUCGGCAAGUAUAUCCGUUUCCUGAGGGGGUUCCUGGAGUCGGCGGAGAAGCACUACCUGGUGGGGUUC